rnacentral:lncRNA from 13 species
UUUUUGGCCAGAUAGGUUGACUGAGAACCCCUUCCUGUUUACAGCAACGACCGGUGAGAGAGUUCCAUGGCAGAGGAGAAAGUUUUCUCUUGUGCUUUGUGAGGGUAUCUGAAACAACCAUUUGACACUAUCCGUGGAAGGUUGAACCCAGCCCUCCCCACUGACGCUGCCCUGCAUGGUGUAUCUGGGCAGAGACAGGGAAACGCUGACAUCCCCCAUUCAACCAACAUAAAUCACCCAGCAGUGACAUCAUCACAGUAAUACUGGCCCAAGGACCGACGUGCCAUGUGGAGCUGUGCUGUGGGACUCCAGGGCUGCAGCAGUGGGACAGGGAGAGAGAGAGCCCAGCCCUGCGGGAGCCCUUCUCAGCCUGUCAUUAGUCUCCACAUGACAGGCAGCAUCCAGCAGCAGAAACCAUCCACCCGCCCAGCAUGGAGAAGACACACGCAGGCAGCCCCGUCUGGGAGAGACCGGAGCAGACGCACACACACAGACAGGAACACACACACAGACAGGAACACACACAGGCAGAUGAGAAGACGGCAUAUGGCUGUGCCCUCAAGGGGGAACACGGGAAACUGUGACAUCAGUUGA